rnacentral:rRNA from 1 species
GACCGUGCGAAGGUAGCAUAAUCAUUAGUUUUUUAAUUGAAGGCUAGAAUGAAUGGUUGGACAAGAAAUAAUCUGUCUUAAAUUAAUAUAUUGAAUUUAACUUUUAAGUGAAAAGGCUUAAAUAAUCUGAAGGGACGAUAAGACCCUAUAAAACUUUAUAUUUAUAAAUUAGUAGUUAGUUUUAUUUAAAAAUACUAUUUUAGAAUAUUUGGUUGGGGUGACAAGGAUAAAAUAUAAAAUAACUGUCUUUUUUUUUUACAAUAAUAUUUGGUUUAAUGAUCCUUAAAGGGAUUAAAGAUUAAGUUACUUUAGGGAUAACAGCGUAAUUUUCUUUAAGAGUUCAUAUCGACAAGAAAGUUUGCGACCUCGAUGUUGAAUUAAAAGUUCUUUAUAGAGUAGAGACUAUAAAAGAAGGUCUGUUCGACCUUUAAAAUUUUACAUGAUUUGAGUUCAGACCGGUGUAAGCCAGGUUGGUUUCUAUCU